rnacentral:lncRNA from 1 species
AUGGCUUACAGGCUGGUAUCCAGAUAGUUGAACAAUGCCUGUCUAACAACAAUGUCCAAUAAUCCAAUAGUUGUUCAGUCUGUGAGGCUGGAUAUCUUAGCUGGUCUUCAGUAUGUGCCAGAAUCCCAAAGAAGUAGGCUCUAGUGGAAUGGAUUUGCUAGUGAGAGUGAGAGCAAGCAGGCAGAGAACAAGCUUCCUUCUUCCAUGUCCUUAUAUAGGCUGCCACCAGAAGGUGUGGCCCAGAUUAAAGGUGCAUCUCCCCACCUCAAAAGAUCGGGAUUAAAAGUGGGUCUUCCCACUCCAAAUGAUUUAAUUAAGGGGAAAAAACAAAAACAAAAACAAAACUCCCUCACAGGUGUGCCCAGCUGUUUGGGUUUUAGUUAAUUCAGAGUAUAGUCAAGUUGACACCAUGAACAGCCACCAACUACCAGGGUUUCUCAUGGGUGAGCCAGGUGUGUCUGAAUCUGCUCCUAUUAAAAUGCAGAUUCCUGGCCUGUGCUCCACACUACUUCUCCGUGAUCUCAUUAAGUAGUACAGGCUGGUCUCAAACUUAAAAUCCUCCUGCCUCCGCCUCCUGAGUGCAUACUACAUAGCUCCUUGGGUCCUCCUGAAGCUUGGCAGUGUGAGAGCUGGGCCUGUAGGGAUGGUUAUCCCAAGCAAGCUUUUCUGAAGAACAUGGGGCCUUCUGUUUGGAGGAUCCGAGCUCGCCAGCCUUGUAUCUCUGACUGAAAACUCUCCCACAAACUUUGCCAGGAUCCCAGGGCUCAUUGCUAGAAAGGGGCGUGGCCUUUGGGACUAGUCACUGUGAGUCAUUUAACCAUGGGAACCACCAAGGGAGAGAGGAAGCAGCCAGCUCCCCCCAGAAGCCUCCAUGGUGCAGGAUUAACUUGGAGCCCAGUCCCCAGGUGGCUUCCCACACCUUUCUUGGGCUGAACAUGAGGCAAACGACCUUGUCCAAGUUCUACUGGGAAGUGGGACACUCAGCACAUCGGUCUUCAUCCCCACCAUGGACAACCUGGCCUCCUGUCCACAGAAGGCAUCUGUGGACGGAUGACAGUGUUGUGCACUUGAGCUCUUCAUAGAAAAGCCUUGCUUCUUGCUUCAAGUAUGCCCUUUUCUCAGCCAAUGUCCACGGACUUGUAAUGAGAACCUUCUCAGCUUUUGCUGAUCUGGAGACAGGCCUCUUCGAUAGACAGGGUGGUCCCAGCCCUGCUUCACAAUCUCCUUUAGAGAGGAGAACUCCUGAGUAUCACCCAGACUGUUCAGGAGGAUGGUUCCAUCCUUUGUUCAUCCUUCAGCUUGAACCACUAGGUUCUAG